AAAACCUAUUUGUUCCGUCUCGCUGGACUGGCUUGAUUUUUAAAAAAAAAAUUUUUUUAAUUUGAUUAAUUGGGGUUUUAAAUUUUUAAUAAUUUAUAGGGUGUAAUUUGUGUUUUAGUUUUGGCCAAUUGAAUGAGUUUUUUAAGGGUUGUUUUUUAAUAUUGUUUGUUUUCCUGUAUUUUAACUGGCUGUUCACCACCCUGAGUCCCCCGGGAGAAGGGCGGUCUAUAAAUUAAAAUAUUAUUAUUAUUAUUAUUAUUAUUAUUAUUAUUAUUAUUAUUAUUAUUAUUAUUAUUAUUAUUAUUAUUAUUAUUAUUAUUAUUAUUAUUAUUAUUAUUAUUAUUAUUAUUAUUAUUAUUAUUAUUAACGGGGAAGCCAGAGUCGCUUAAAAACCGUGCAGUGGUUCACUUAAAAACCGUGGCACUGAAGCGCUCUUCCUUAGCAUCAGACAUUUUACAUCAGACAGUUGUACGUUGGGGACUACCUGUAUUUUUUUUUUUUUGUUUACAUUUAUACCCCGCCCUUCUCCGAAGACUCAGGGCGGCUUACAGUGUAUAAGGCAAUAGUCUCAUUCUAUUUGUAUAUUAUAUACAAAGUCAACUUAUUGCCCCCCCAACAAUCUGGGUCCUCAUUUUACCUACCUUAUAAAGGAUGGAAGGCUGAGUCAACCUUGGGCCGGGCUUGAACCUGCAGUAAUUGCAGGCUGCUGUGUUCUUAAUAACAGGCUUUACCAGCCUGAGCUAAACCGGCCCUGUAUUGCACUCUAGCUCCGUUUUUUCUCAAGUCUUGCCCGCUCUUAAGAUCAUGUGAACUUCAACUCCCAGAGUUCCCCAGCCAGAAUUCCCUCCCCUCCCAGCACAUCUUUUUAUCACUAAGCAAACCUCUAUGACAAUGAUGGCGAACCUUUUAAACACCCAGCGCCCAAACUGCACGCGUGCCCAAACAGAAAGGUGCGCACGCAUGCACAGACAUGCGUGCACGCACGCUUGCACAGAUGUGUGAACGUACACAUGCAUAUAUGUGCGAACGUACGCAGGCAUGGACAUGCUCAAAGACCAGGCGGAGCAUCGCAACACUGGAAGCGAGGCAAGAGGUCAGAUCUUUUUCUUUCGUGAGCUUCUCUUUCGUCGUUUGCAGGGAAACGGAAGCUCAUGCAAGAAAUGCAACAGAGGUUUGACCUGAGGCGACGGCGCAUGUGCCAGCAGGAAGGGCUCUGCGUGCCACCUCUGGCAUGCGCGCCAUAGGUUUGCCAUCAUGGCUCUCUAAGAAUAGAAUAGAAUAGGAGUUCUUUAUUCGCCAAGUGUGAUUGGACACAAGGAAUUUGUCUUGGUGCAUAUGCUCUCAGUGUACAUAAAAAGAAUAGAAUAGAAUAUAGAAUUCUUUAUUGGUCAAGUGUGAUUGGACACAAGGAAUUUGUCUUUGGUGCAUACGCUCUCAGUGUACAUAAAAAGAAUAGAAUAGAAUAUAGAAUUCAUUAUUGGUCAAGUGUGAUUGGACACACAAGGAAUUUGUCUUGGUGCAUACGCUCUCAGUGUACAUAAAAAGAAUAGAAUAGAAUAUAGAAUUCUUUAUUGGUCAAGUGUGAUUGGACACAAGGAAUUUGUCUUUGGUGCAUACGCUCUCAGUGUACAUAAAAAGAAUAGAAUAGAAUAUAGAAUUCAUUAUUGGUCAAGUGUGAUUGGACACACAAGGAAUUUGUCUUGGUGCAUACGCUCUCAGUGUACAUAAAAAGAAUAGAAUAGAAUAUAGAAUUCAUUAUUGGUCAAGUGUGAUUGGACACACAAGGAAUUUGUCUUUGGUGCAUACGCUCUCAGUGUACAUAAAAAGAAUAGAAUAGAAUAUAGAAUUCUUUAUUGGUCAAGUGUGAUUGGACACAAGGAAUUUGUCUUGGUGCAUACGCUCUCAGUGUACAUAAAAAGAAUAGAAUAGAAUAUAGAAUUCUUUAUUGGUCAAGUGUGAUUGGACACAAGGAAUUUGUCUUUGGUGCAUACGCUCUCAGUGUACAUAAAAAGAAUAGAAUAGAAUAUAGAAUUCUUUAUUGGUCAAGUGUGAUUGGACACAAGGAAUUUGUCUUGGUGCAUACGCUCUCAGUGUACAUAAAAAGAAUAGAAUAGAAUAUAGAAUUCUUUAUUGGUCAAGUGUGAUUGGACACACAAGGAAUUUGUCUUGGUGCAUACGCUCUCAGUGUACAUAAAAAGAAUAGAAUAAAAUAUAGAAUUCAUUAUUGGUCAAGUGUGAUUGGACACACAAGGAAUUUGUCUUGGUGCAUAUGCUCUCAGUGUACAUAAAAAGAAUAGAAUAGAAUAUAGAAUUCAUUAUUGGUCAAGUGUGAUUGGACACACAAGGAAUUUGUCUUGGUGCAUACGCUCUCAGUGUACAUAAAAAGAAUAGAAUAGAAUAUAGAAUUCAUUAUUGGUCAAGUGUGAUUGGACACACAAGGAAUUUGUCUUGGUGCAUACGCUCUCAGUGUACAUAAAAAGAAUAGAAUAGAAUAUAGAAUUCAUUAUUGGUCAAGUGUGAUUGGACACACAAGGAAUUUGUCUUGGUGCAUAUGCUCUCAGUGUACAUAAAAGAAAAGAUACGUUCAUCAAGGUACAACAUUUACAACACAAAUGAUGGUCAAUAUAUCAAUAUAAACCAUAAGGAUUGCCAGCAACAAAGUUACAGUCAUACAGUCAUAAGUGGAAAGAGAUUAGUGAUGGGAACAAUGAGAAGAUUAAUAGUAGUGCAGAUUCAGUAAAUAGUCUGACAGUGUUGAGGGAAUUAUUUGUUUAGCAGAGUGAUGGCGUUUGGGGAAAAAACUGUUCUUGUGUCUAGUUGUUCUGGUGUGCAGUGCUCUAUAGUGUCGUUUUGAGGGUAGGAGUUGAAACAGUUUUAUGUCCAGGAUGUGAGGGAUCAUAAAAUGUAUGAGUGAAAACAAUUCCCAUCCCAAUAGAGGGCGCUCUUGGCCAUAGAAUGGCUCCUAGAGAAAUGGUUUUGUAGAAACUAUACUUUUUUUCACCGUUUUCCCUAAAUCUGGUCCAAGACUCCAGAGCUCAGGAAGGCAAAAGUGUUUAAAGAGUUAGGUGUUUUAGCUCCUGGGUUGCAAUUCUGUGCAAAAUUAAUGCAGUUUUGAAUGUGCAAAUUUCCAAAAGUCCUCCCAAGUUCGUUGAUAACGUCUCUCAACCUUCCCCAAGUGUUCUCCAAAUGGGAAAGUAUUAUACCCAUUUGUAUAAUUUCCCAAGAACCCAUUUCUUGGAUUACCCAGGCUUCCAUGCUGAUGAGGCUUUGGGGGCUUUAUAAGUCCCAGUUUAGGGAUGCUGUGGGAACGUCGUUUUGAGGGUAGGAGUUGAAACAGUUUAUAUCCAGGAUGCGAGGGGUCUGUAAAUAUUUUCACAGCCCUCUUUUUGUCUCAUGCAGCAUACAGGUCCUCCAUGGAAGGCAGGUUGGUAGCCAUUGUUUUUUCUGCUGUUCUAAUGAUCCUCUGAAGUCUGUAUCUGCCUUGUUGGGUUGCAGAACUGAACCAGGCAGUUAUGGAGGUGCAGAUGACAGACUCAAUAAUUCCUCUGUAGAACUGGAUCACCAGCUUCUUGGGCAGUUUGAGCUUUCUGAGUUGGCUCAGAAAGAACAUUCUUUGUUGUCCUCUUUUGAUGGCAUUUUUGAUGUUAGCUGUCCAUUAUAGAUCAAAGCCAUAUCUGAAAAUUUCAGGUUAUAUAUUCUGUUGGCAUGUUGGAAAAAAUAAGACCUGCGGUCUACAAGUUGGAAAUAGUUAGCUUAUUACAUGAACGUUCAAUUGCAUACCUCAACUUCGUCUGCUUUUUAGAUUUUGUUUUUAUGGGACCAAAUGGAAAACUUCAACUGGGAAUUCCAAUAAUAUUCCACAGAGGCAGUCAACCAGCUGUGUACCCUGGGAUGGAAGUGGACAGCAAGCCCUUCAUUUCAACUUCAAAAACAUGGCAACGGCCCUUCACAUUUCAUAGUCCAUGGACUCUCUUCCGUUACAGUUCAUGGACUAGCCUAAAACAAGUUUGAACUGAAGAAUUGAUUCCAUGAUAGGGAAGAUGGAAGCAAAACAAAAUUUUUAAAUAUUAUAUCUUGACUUCAUUUCACAGAUGAAAGCGUUAUUCAAAGGAACCAAUUUCCCCUACAAUAAAAAAAAAUGGAAAAAUGUUGGACUGGCCCAAGGUUUCCCAGAGACCAUCGGUGGCGCAGUGGUUAGAGUGCUGUAUUGCAGGAUACUUCUGCUGCCUGCCGGCUGCCUGCAAUUUGGCAGUUCAAAUUCCACUAGGCACAAGGUUGACUCAGCCUUCCCUCCUUCCAAGUGGUUGUCAUUUCGCAUGGUCGCUAAACGGAUGAUUGUAAGUCGAGGACCACCUGCACAUCACAAGGGCUGUCAGGCUUUGCAGGAUCCCAAUCUCCCACUGGGGAUAUAUUGGCACAGCCUCCCCCCCCCCCAAAUAUCAACCCAUUAGCGAUUCGCUAUUGAUCGCGACAGCGGCUCAACAAAGGAAGGCCGCCGCUUGGCUUGAUGAAGACAGUCCCCUUCCCCGGCAACAUCAGAGCAGCCUUCCGCGCGAUAUCAAGACGGGAAUGAAAACAAAAAGGCGGAAGGCUUUUUCGAUCCCUAUUGUUACGGCAGACAAAAAGCUUCUGCUAGAAUUAAUAGACUCCUGCUUAUUCUAAAUCUUCGUCUUCUCUGUCCUGUCCUGAGCCCUCUUUCUCUCCCUCUUUCCUUCUUUCCAUUCCCGCCCCCAUAGAUCUAUUUGCUAAAAUAAAUUGAAGCCGGCAAAGAAUAUAAGACACAAUUUGUACUAGAUAUAUCUGCAAUUACUAACUCUGAAUUAAAGACAUCCCUUCAUGAAUAAUGAAGCAGAAACGGUCCACGGGAAGGGGACGAGAUAAGAAUCUUCAAGCUGUGUAUUUUUUAAUUGCUUCAUUAUCUAACAUUUGGUAUGAAUAGAUACACAUGCAGUCUGUGGUUUAAUAAGCCCUCAUACAUAAAGAAAACCCCUUUUUAAAAAAAAGAUGUGUGUGUGUGUUUGUGUGUGUGAUGGAGGAUGAAGAGGGAAUGAAGAAAUGGGGAUUUUAAGUCAAUCCGCAAACACCUAUCAAACAUGAAUUCUCUGGGCUGAAAUCCCUAAAAAUACAACGCUGCAGGAAGGAUGGCGCAGACUGCCAAGCCCUGUUUCCCCUAACCUUGAGCUACGAAUUCAGAAUGCAAAAAUAAAUAAAUAAAUAAAAGGUCGCUUUUAAGGACUUAAAGCUGUUCUUUCUCAUAAAAAUGGAAACCUAAAUCAGACCGAGUGGCCAAUGUUGAUCUGGCUUUCUUUCUCUGGAUUACCCAUUGACUUGGCUUGCUGGAAGGGGAUCAAAGGACCUUCCCCCCCUCACCGGACAGAAUUUGGAUCACGUGACCAUGGAGAAACUGCAUGUUGUGGUCCAUUAGCAGCCUACGGAACUGGCAAUGGAGUCGGACAGCGAUGAGGCUGAGGUGAAGCCAGGGCCAUUGUGGGAAGUGACGUGCGGACUCCAGACCCUCCAGGGACUGAUAGUAGUGAGGCAGAGGAACAGGAGGAGCAUGUUCCUAAUGCACGCAUGAGAAGAGCUGCCAGAAGGCAAGAGCAGCUCAAGCAAAGAGGACGACUCGGGAGUAGGACCAAGAGAUGAUUGGCCCCUCCCAUAAGGUUUAAAACAGAUCAGCAACGGCAUUUGGGCUUUGCCGGAAAACAACAUUGUAGCUGUGUCUUCUGCUUCGUCCUCUGCUUCGUCUACAUCUUUGCUUUUGUGGUUUCUGGACAUUUGCCAGGAAGGGCCUUUGGCAAUUUGCCUAAGUGGACUAAGGUUUGUGAGAUAACUGAGGAAUUUGUGUUGGAAGGCAUUUGUUUUAAUUUGGGUUGAACGACGCUGGGAAUGAAGUAAUUCUCAGCUGUUUGAAUAAAGU